GUGGGGAAUCUUGCGCAAUGGGCGAAAGCCUGACGCAGCCAUGCCGCGUGAAUGAUGAAGGUCUUAGGAUUGUAAAAUUCUUUCACCGGGGACGAUAAUGACGGUACCCGGAGAAGAAGCUCCGGCUAACUUCGUGCCAGCAGCCGCGGUAAUACGAAGGGGGCUAGCGUUGCUCGGAAUUACUGGGCGUAAAGGGCGCGUAGGCGGACAGCUUAGUCAGAGGUGAAAGCCCAGGGCUCAACCUUGGCAUUGCCUUUGAUACUGGCUGUCUUGAGUUUGGGAGAGGUGAGUGGAACUCCGAGUGUAGAGGUGAAAUUCGUAGAUAUUCGGAAGAACACCAGUGGCGAAGGCGACUCACUGGCCCAAUACUGACGCUGAGGCGCGAAAGCGUGGGGAGCAAACAGGAUUAGAAACCCGAGUAGUCC
rnacentral:rRNA from 1 species